rnacentral:rRNA from 1 species
AGAGUUUGAUCCUGGCUCAGGAUAAACGCUGGCGGCGUGCCUAACACAUGCAAGUCGAACGCCCCUUGCGCAAGCAAGGGAGUGGCGGACGGGUGAGGAACACGUGGAUACCUACCUUGGAGUGAGGAAUACCGGCGAGAAAUCGCCGACAAUACCGCAUACGCUUCGCAAGAAGGAAAGCUCGCUUCGGUGAGCGCUCG